ACAUCCACACACAGAAGAACGUGCUGAUUGAAGUAAACCCUCAGACAAGGAUUCCCCGCACAUUUGACCGUUUUUGUGGUCUGAUGGUUGCUGCAUAAACUCAGUGUCCGAUCAGCUGAUGGACCGCAGAAACUUUUGAAGGUAAUUAAAAAUCCAGUGACUGAUCAUCUUCCUG